UACGUAGGGGGCUAGCGUUGUCCGGAUUUAUUGGGCGUAAAGAGCGCGUAGGCGGCCGAGUAAGUCCGACGUGAAAUCUGGAGGCUCAACCUCCAGCGGUCGUUGGAAACUACUCGGCUAGAGUCCGGAAGAGGAGAGUGGAAUUCCUGGUGUAGCGGUGAAAUGCGCAGAUAUCAGGAAGAACACCGAUGGCGAAGGCAGCUCUCUGGGACGGUACUGACGCUGAGGCGCGAAAGCGUGGGGAGCAAACAGG
rnacentral:rRNA from 1 species